GGCCUGACAAGUUGACCAUGAACCUUGCACCAUUGAUGUCUCGUGCAUCAAUCUUAACUGAUUCUGGUCUCUCUACAUCAGCAUAUAUCCUUGGGAACGAUAAGCAACCUUCAUUAAAGACUACAGUUUUCUUGGAAUAUCUGUAAACUCUAGGGUUUACAAGAACAAUUUCCUCCCCUUCACCACGUUCACCGACUGGAUUAAAUACCAUUAGUUGAACAUUAACUCCCACUUGAGGUGCUGAG
rnacentral:misc_RNA from 1 species